rnacentral:rRNA from 1 species
UACAGAGGUCCCAAGCGUUGUUCGGAUUCACUGGGCGUAAAGGGUGCGUAGGUGGUCGGGUAAGUCCGAUGUGAAAUCUCCAGGCUCAACCUGGAAAUGGCAUUGGAUACUAUUCGGCUUGAGGAGUGGAGGGGGGACUGGAAUUCUCGGUGUAGCAGUGAAAUGCGUAGAUAUCGAGAGGAACACCAGUGGCAAAGGCGAGUCCCUGGACACUUCCUGACACUGAGGCACGAAAGCUAGGGGAGCAAACAGG